rnacentral:rRNA from 1 species
UACGUAGGGUGCGAGCGUUGUCCGGAAUUAUUGGGCGUAAAGAGCUCGUAGGCGGUUUGUCGCGUCUGCUGUGAAAACCUAAGGCUCAACCUUGGGCUUGCAGUGGGUACGGGCAGACUAGAGUGCGGUAGGGGUGACUGGAAUUCCCGGGUGUAGCGGUGAAAUGCGCAGAUAUCGGGAGGAACACCGGUGGCGAAGGCGGUUCUCUGGGCCUUACCUGACGCUGGAGGAGCGAAAGCGUGGGGGAGCGAAACAGGG